rnacentral:lncRNA from 1 species
CUCUCCCGUUUCGUUUUCUAGCAAGACAAAUUGGAGCGUGGCUUCGCUUCAAAGAUGAGAAACAUGUUCUUGUAUUGCACAUCUCAUACAUCGGGCACAUUUACACUGUAGAAUUUGUGCCGUUUGAUCCUUCUUCAGCUGUCCUGGCUCAAUGUUAUGGCAUCCUGGGAUUUGUAGUUUUGCAUGGUCUUUAGCCUUCCCUGCCAAAGAAGGAUGGUGCUUUAUCAAACUACAGAUCCCAGGAUUCCAUAGCAUUGAGCCAAGGAAACUAAAGCGGUGUCAAACUGUAUUCAUUCCGUAAUGUAGACGCACCCGAAAUACAACUUCUUUGUAAGGAGGAGAGGCAUGUGCUUGCAUUCUAUUAAGCUAAGUAAACAAAAGAUUCCCCCAGGCAGGAAGCAGCCAGGCUUUGAAGCUGCAAGGCCAUUCAAUGCUAAUCAGGGUGGCCAAUGGCAGCAUUCACACUCGUCUCAGGCAGACAAGAGUUCUUUCUCCCACCUUGGACAUUAUUCCACAGAUAUAUAAACUUCACUUGACUAGUUUCCAACAGACCUCACAACCUCUGAGGAUGCCUGCCAUAGAUGUGGGCAAAAUGUCAGGAGAGAACUCUUGUCUGUUGGAGGGUGGUGUGAAUGUUGUAAUUAAUCACCUUCGUUAGCAUUAAAUGGCCUUCCCAGUCUCGUAUCCUUUGUUCAGAGUCGUUAGCUGCCCCUGAUUUAUUCCUGUCUGGAAUUCGUCUGUUUUCAGAGUGCUGCUCCUUAUUUACUGUCCUGAUUUUAGAGUUUUUUUAAUACUGGUGAAGGGGCAAAGAUGUAAAAGAUGUAAAAAUACUCCUCUUAAUCCAAAGUCAAAAGCAGGAGGCCCCUUUUCUGUGGAGAGGUCGAGGAAAAACACCAUGAAAGUUGGAUCUUUCACUAUUUAUUGCAUGGCCAUAGCAAUGUGACAAAUACAUGCAUACAUGCAAUCAAAGGAUUUGUCCGAAUUUCCAACAUGGUUGCAAGGGUUUUAUCACCUCCACAGAAAUUAGCAAGCAUAUCCUUAUUGGCUUACAAAGAUCAUUUAUCCCAUUUGUCUAAUGUUGUCUAUGUCACAAGCAUCUUAACCGUCAUGCAAUCCCAUUGGUUUUCUAUGCUGUAACAACCUGUAAUUCUUUAGACAAUGGUGCUUUCAUGUUACUGACCCUGACUUGUUGCAAGUAUAAGCUCAAAAUCGUAUGGGAACCGGUUCUGACUUGAUGUAUUGUUAUUAUUUGAAAGUAACUUCUUUUCUCUGGAACAACUCUUUUCCCAAACAUCAGCAUUUUCUCUCAAGUGCAGGCCUUCCUCAAACAUAGGCCUUUUGCAACUUAGGUCAAUCAAAACAUAUGGGACUUAUAGUCAUUACAAGUAUCUUUGAAAAUUCUUUUUCUAAACCCACGUCCCUCUGACUGGCAGCCAGAUUUUGUUCAUUUUCAUGGUUUCCUCCUUUCUGUUGAAGUUGUCCACACGCUUGUGGAUUUCAAUGGCUUCUCUGUGUAGUCUGACAUGAUAGUUGUUGGAGUGGUCCAGCAUUUCUGUGUUCUCCAGUAAUAAUAUUCUGUGUCCAGGUUGGUUCACCAAGUGCUCUGCUGUGCCUGACUUCUCUGGUUGAGUGAGUUUGCAGUGCCUUUCGUGUUCCUUGACUCAUGUUUGGGCAAUUUCUGCGUUUGGUGUUCUGCGCUUUGACUUUCUGAACUUGCUCCCUCUUCCUCUUGCUGUGUGUCUCUGCGCUUUUGCCGAAUGAUGGGUUCUCCUUCCUUGGUGGCCCCUUGGCAGGGGUCAGACUAGAUGGCUCUCAGGGCCCCGUCCUGCCUGACGAUUUCUGCCUUUCAUCCCCUGAAGGGCUUUCGAGCGGGUCCAUCAAUUGGAGAGAGGAGCGCUGAGUGAAAGCCUUUUGUUCCAACCGCGCCGCUACGGCAUGAUCUAAAGGCUAAUUUAAUUUUAAAUUCCAUUUAGGUAAAUCCGUAUAUAAAUGUUCCACUUUAUUGCAAAGCUGUAAUAUUUCUUGCUAUUACUAUUUUGAGCGGUAAUUAAUCUUUCGUGUUAUUAGGCCCAGAAUUACAAGCCGAGCGGGCGAGGCGGGCGGUAACAAGGAGCGGGCGUCCUAUUAAUGUGCCAGGAAGGUGUAUUUCAUUUCCUUUAUUGCGGGGGGACAGAAGGGGGGGAAAACGGAGCACCACCUGCUGCAAAUAUAAUUAUUGUUACUUUAUUUAAAAAGGGAGAAGUUUGCCGUUUUGCAAAUAUUUGGCCAUCCUUCACUGCCAUGACAACGGAGCCUUUUCGGGGACGUCGGAAGCUGCCUUCAUGAGCCUUCGUCCAGACAUGCGCCGGAUCGAGAUUGACGAGGAAAGCAUCCAGCGCCAGGAUUUUCCUCCUCCUCCUGGACUCUUCCGCAUGAUCAUUUAUUUAUCUAGUCUUUGAUUUUACAGUUAGAGGAGUUAAUCGUCAAUACUUCCCUUAGGUUCCUUAGAAAUAUAGUUAGUGAUUUGCUGUGCAUCUACACUGUGGAACUGAUGUGGUUUGACACCACUUCAUUUGCUUUGGUUCAGUGCCGCAGAAUCCUGAGAUUUGUAAUUUGGUGAAGCACCAGAACUCUAAAAUUACAGCUCCCCAAAUUUCAUAGCAUUGAGUCAGGGCAGUUAAAGUCAUAUUGGACUGUAUAGAUGCAUCCUUGAUUUGUGGAGGAAUCAAGGUAAAGGGACAUCUCCAGAAGAACGUGGAGAAUCUGCAAGCCAUUUGCUCUUCCAACCUAAACCCUUUCGAUAUGAAACACCUUGGGCUUCAUACCACGUUCAAGUCUAUGCCUAUGACCUCUGGAAAAGUCUUGUGUUCAUGUUUCUUGGAUUCAUGUUUUGGAAGAAGUCGCUGUGUUCCUGUUUUUGGAUUUAUGCCUAUGCUUUGAUUCCUGGUUUUUCCAUGUACCUUGUCACUUAUAGGCAGAACUUUGAUGUUUGAAAUAUUGCUUUUUGAAAGCUUUUUCCUAUUGCUUUUUGGACGUUGCUUUUAAUAUAGCCUUUUACCUUUUUGUAGGAGCCCCCGGUGGUGCAGUGAGUUAAACUGCCAAGCUGCUGAACUUUCUGAUUGAAAGGCUGGCGGUUCGAAUCCAGGGAGCGGAGUGAGCACCUGCUAUUAACCCUAGCUUCUGUCAACCUAGCAGUUCGAAAAUAUGCAAAUGUGAGUAGAUCAAUAGGUACCGCUCCAGCGGGAAAGUAUGUCAGGGUGAGGUUAAAAAAAAAUCAUCAGCUCUGCACUACCUUGAUUUAUUGUUGAUCCAGACCUCUCACCAAUACAUCCUCAGUCAGACUGCUUGCCAUUCGGAAAAGCAGCACCGACAAAUGACACCUCAAUCGUUAAUCAGAUGAACGCAGCAGUUCUUAGACUUUAUUCUAUAUAUACAAGUUAUUUACAAGCUGCAAAGUCCAUCACUCAUUGGACUCAUGCUCUCUUCUUGCCAAUCAGCGAAGCACACACACACUGCUGCUAACAGCACAUUCCACAGCAGAAAGAUGAAUGUCCUCUCAGACCGGAAGUCAUGACCUAUUGGCUCGGCAGGCUAUCACUCAAACUGGCCUGCCGUUAACACUUUUUUUCGUGUUAGGAGCAACCAGAGUUUUAUUUAUUUAUUUAUCACAUGCAUUUAUGCCCCGCACUUCUCCCUGAGGGGACUCAGAGAGUUGCUUCUGGAGUGAGAGAAUUGGCCGUCUGCAAGGACGUUGCCCAGGGGACACCCGGAUGUUUUGAUGUUUUUACCAUCCUUGUGGGAGGCUUCUCUCAUGUCCCUGCAUGGAGCUGGAGCUGAUAGAGGGAGCUCAUCUGCGCUUUCCCCGGGUGGGAUUCAAACCUGGCAGCCUUCAGGUUAGCAACCCAAUCUUCAAGUCACAAGGCUUCUAUCCCCUAGGCCACCGGAGGCUCCUAACCGUUAACACUUAAGUUGCUGGAAUACAUGUCCGGUAUACACAGUUGCAAACAGUAAAAACACUUGAUUCAUCAUUUCACUCUUACACUCAAAAAUACUCAACAAGGUAAUGGCACUCCAUGCAGUUAUGCCAAUGGCCACAUGACCUUGGAGGUGUCCACGGACAACGCCGGCUCUUUGACUUAGAAAUGGAGAUGAGCACCAACCCCCAGAGUCGGGAACGACUGGACUUCAUGUCAGGGGAAAACCUUUACCUUUACCGUACUUUUUUAUAACUGCACUAGCUGUGCCCAGCCAUGCGUUGCUGUGGCGUUGUCUGGUGGUGUUGGUGAGAAAUUGUUGAGGUAGUGGUGGUAUUGAAUGUAUGUUGUAUGGUUGUCUUUAUGUUUAGUAUGCACACUGAAGUGGAUUAUAUGGCAGUGUGGACUCAAGAUAAUCCAGUUCAAAGCAGAUAAUAUAAGAUUCUAAAUGGGUUGUAUAGCUGUUUGGAAGGGCCUUGAGUCUACACUGCCAUAUAAUCCAGUUAAAAUCUCAUAAUCUGUGGAAGAGGCCUAAGUGAGGCCUAACUGUGCCUGUCCCCUGGGCUGAGGAGGUUGCUAGGAGACCAAGUGGGUGGAACUUAGCCUUCAAACUGGCAGCAAUUGGAUAAAAACAAUUAUUGCUCUCCCUCUAAUUAGGACUUUAUUUUUCUUUUCUUUUUGUUGUAUCAACCUAGAGCCGUGAAUGAUGGGUUGUGUUGUCAAAUUUCGAGGUUGGGGGGCCUGUAGUUUUGUUGUUUUGUCCGCUGCCCUGAUGCCAUCAUUCUUUUAUAUAUAUAGAUUUUUCAAUAAACUGUUUAGUUCAUACAACUGGACUCUUGCGUGGUGUUGGGUGCAAAGGCGACUUUAGGCUGGAGUGCAACAGGUGGAAGCUCCUUCUUUGGAGGCUUUACAACAGAGGCUGGAUGGC